rnacentral:rRNA from 1 species
UACGUAGGAGGCGAGCGUUGUCCGGAAUUACUGGGCGUAAAGAGCUCGUAGGCGGUUUGUCGCGUCUGCUGUGAAAACUGGAGGCUCAACCUCCAGCCUGCAGUGGGUACGGGCAAACUAGAGUGCGGUAGGGGAGAUUGGAAUUCCUGGUGUAGCGGUGGAAUGCGCAGAUAUCAGGAGGAACACCGAUGGCGAAGGCAGAUCUCUGGGCCGUAACUGACGCUGAGGAGCGAAAGCAUGGGGAGCGAACAGG